UCUUGGCCAGCAAUCCAUUGAGUAGCUUGAAGUCUGCUUUUCUAAAGUUCAGUGUCCUGAUCCUGCUCUUUGCCAGGCCCACAUCGCUUGAGAUCACAAACUCAACCAGGGCAUGGUCGCUGGAGCCCAGGCAGCCUCCAACCUUGACGCCUUUAAUGAUCUCCUCGGCAUUGGUGAGCAGCAGGUCUAGCAAUGCUUCACCUCUGGUCGGUCUGUCCAAUACCUGAACCAGAAAGCUAUCGUCAAUGGAUUCCAAGAGCCUUCUGGAGCUCUUGCAGCUCGCCGUGUGGUUUUCCCAGCAGAUGUCCAGAUGGUUGAAGUCCCCCACCAGGACAAGAGCCUGUGAGCCAGACAUCUCACGCAUCUGGAGCAAGAAAGCCUCGUCAACAGCCUCCCCUUGAUCAGGCAAAGCAGAACAGGCAGGAAGAAUGAAAGCAGCAGGAGGGAAAACUCCAGCACGUGGAAAUUGGCCUCAUGUAGUGUAAAUGCAGGUCCUACAGAUCGACAAAGAGCCUCCUCAAAGGACAAAGAAAUUACAGUUUGUAAUUCAUUGCCUCUUCAUUUGUAUAAA